rnacentral:lncRNA from 1 species
UUUAUAGCUGGAGGUGACCCACAUUUUUGUGGGACAAUGGAGACACGAAAUAGUUUUCACUACACUAUUCUUACUCCCUGUAAAGGAAAGGCUUUUUUACUUAUUAGUUGGGUAUGAACUUUCUGAAUCUUUUUUUUUUUUUUUUUUUUUUUUGUCUUUUUGCCAUUUCUUGGGCCGCUCCUGCCGCAUAUGGUGGUUCCCAGGCUAGGGGUCCAAUCGAAGCUGUAGCCACUGGCCUAUGCCACAGCCACAGCAACGCAGGGAUCCGAGCCAUGUCUGCAGCCUACACCACAGCUCAUGGCAACGCUGGAUCCCUAACCCACUGAGCAAGGUUAGGGAUUGAAACUGCAACCUCAUGGAUCCUAGUUGGAUUCGUUAACCACUGAGCCACCUUGGGAACUCCUGAACUUUCUGAAUCUUAUUAGAGCUAUAUGCUAUCUUGUGAGAUGUCUCUUACAUCUUUAGUUAAGCCAUAAUAAAAUUCUGAUUGUUUUGAGUUCUAUUCAUCAAUAGCAAGAUGAUGGAUUCUUUAAAAAAAAAAACAAACUUUCAUCAAAAUCAGCUAUCAAAUAAGUACUUAAAGGAGAAUCAUACCAAAAGGUAAAAAGUACAAAACUGAGUCUUAAUUAAUUCCUUAUUAGGAUGAAAGGACAGAAAUCAGACUUUAAAAUCCCACAUAAAUUCCCUUAUUAAAUGUCACCCUAUUUCCUCAGUAAUUCCUAAGCCUCUCCUACAAAUAACCAGGGAAUAAAUGAGCUGGAGUGUAAUAUUCAAGGGCUAAAAGAAACAAUUCUUUUUUUUUUUUUUUGCAAACUUCUGCAAAACCAGACGUACAACUGUAGAAAGAAGGCCCAUCUAUUUUUGCCAGUCCUAAGACCUUACCUAGUCCUCUAAAGAUGCUUGUAGACAUUUUAAAAGAUCAGGAUAUUGGAGCAAAGGUGUCCUGUACUUCAUCAAUAUUUUAGUAAUAAUUACCCUAAGACUUAUGAUAGACAAAUAUAUUCUGAAAUUCCUAGAAAAAAAAACUUACACUUUCUUUCUCUGUCCCCUAAAGUUAUAGAUCUUAACAUUAAAGUGUAAACACAACCCAUAUCACCUAAGACUGAACCUGACUUAUCUCACUCAGUAGACUUGAAACUAAAGAAAGACAGAGGUGGUGGGAGGAGAAUGGGAGGGGGGGGGGAGAGAGACCUUUUCAAACACAAACUGCUAAAAAAUUUCUCUUGUCUAAACUAAUAAAUAACAACACUCUUCAAGUUGCUUGUCAAGGGGAAACACAGAUUUUAAAAGUCUUCUCCACAAAUAAUAAAAAUAACUUUAGCCAUCUGACUAAAUAAUCUGUUAUUUAUAAACUUGUGGGUUUUAUAUUGUAUCUGAAUCAUGAUUAAAGUUUUAAAAUGAGAUCUCUUGUUGUGCUUGUUUACAUUUCUAUAUGUAUAUGUUAUAUCCAGAUGGUACUGCCAAAAUUAAUUUGUAAAAGAGCUCUAUUUAAUUGGCUUUAUACCAACAAACACUAUAUAAAAAUUCUCAAAAGUAUAAUAAAAACUAAUCCAAAUGUUUUUCAAGUUCACAUGAUCUAAGAUAAUCUUUAAUAAACAAAAGUUAAUUUUAAGCUUGUUGUUUCAAUUAAUACAGGUAUAUCUUCAGAGUUAGCAUUAAAUACAUUGAGGAUAAACAACUUUUGUUCAAUUUGGGUUUGCUAGUGAAAGGAACUAAUGUUUGCUCUGUUGCAAAUUCUGUCAGCAAAAAAAACCCCUAAAAAUAAUAAAACAUAAGAUAAUGAUUAACUAUUUUAAUGUCUCAUGAAAUGUUUAUGAAUAAUCUAGGAAUGAUUAUUAAUAACAAAUUAAUUAGAUGUAACUGAUAAGAAUUUUAGGUUAAUUUUUUUUUUUUGGUCCUUUGUCUUUGUUGUUGUUGUUGUUGUUAUUGUUGCUAUUUCUUGGGCCGUUCCCGCGGCAUAUGGAGGUUCCCAGGCUAGGGGUUGAAUCGGAGCUGUAGCCACCGGCCUACGCCAGAGCCACAGCAAUGCGGGAUCCGAGCCGCGUCUGCAACCUACACCACAGCUCACAGCAACGCCGGAUCGUUAACCCACUGAGCAAGGCCAGGGAUCGAACCCGCAACCUCAUGGUUCCUAGUCGGAUUCGUUAACCACUGCGCCACGACGGGAACUCCGGUUAAUUUUUAACAAUAAUAAUUUUGCUAUGUCUACUUGACUAGUUUCCUAUACCUCUUUGGUUUGUUAAAUUGAAUGAUGAAGAUUCACUGAAUGCCUAGAUCAUUUCCAACUAGGAAAAAAAUUCUCAAAAUAUUAUUGCUAAACAAGUCUAAGGUUAUACCUACUUUUGACCUCUUAUCACAGAGAGAUCAAGUAGAUUUGGCUUGGAGUUCCCCUGGUGGCACAGCCGAAACGAAUCUGACUAGGAACCAUGAGGUUGCAGGUUCGAUUCCUGGCCUCACUCAGUGGGUUAAGGAUCUGGCAUUGCUGUGAGCUGUGAUGUGGGUCGGCAGACACGGCUUGGAUCUGGCGUUGUUGUGGCUCUGCUGUAGGCCGGCAGCUGUAGCUCUAAUUAGACUUUAGGCUGGGAACCUCCACGUGCCAUAGUUGCAGCCCUAAAAAGACAAAAGACAAAAAAAAAAAAAGUAGGUUUGGCUCUAUUAGUAAAUAUAACUUGUGUUUUAGUGAAAGAUUUUACUAUAUAGUAGCAUAUCUUCCUAGAGGAAAUUAUAAAAUGUAUUUAUAAGUUUGCCAACCAACAAAAUAUUAAUACAGUUCAACAUUGUUCAGAUCUUUAUUUUCACUAAAAAAAUUUAAAAGGUUAAGAAGUCUAAUUAAUGUAUGUGUUUAAAACUAUCAGACAUAAGAGUAGAUAUAGAAUCUGUUUGUGGUAAGAAAAGUUUUAAAGUAUGAAGACAUUUUUUGUGAGGGGAAAAAGGGAUUUUGUUCUAAAUAAGGUUAAUUCUAAAUGGGAAAGGAAACAAGGGACAAACUAAACUGGACAAUGAUAACUAUCAAAGUUUUAUGAAUAAAGGAAUUUCAGGAAAGGGAUUUUAUGUGUGUGGUCAGAACUGGAUAAGAUUGAAAUAAAUUACACAACCUACCAAGAAUGAACCAGGAAGAAAUUGAAAAUAUGAACUGACCAAUCACAAGUACUGAAAUUGAAAAUGUGAUUUAAAAAAGAAAAAAAAAACCUUCCAAAAAACAAAAUUCCAGGACCUGAUGGCUACAGAGGAAAAUUCUAUCAAAUAUCCAGAGAAUUAACACCUAUUCUUCCAAAACUCUUCUAAAAACUAGCAGAGGAAGGAAUACUCCCAAGCUCAUUCUAUGAGGCCACCAUCACCUGAUACCAAAACCAGA